AAUCACAAAUGUGUGAUCUGGAAUCACAAAUGUGUGAACAUGAAUCACACAUUUGUGAAUUAGGAUCACACAUUUGUGAUUCAAGAUCACACAUUUGUGCUC
rnacentral:miRNA from 1 species